rnacentral:rRNA from 1 species
GGUGAGUAACACGUGAGCAACCUGCCCCUGACUCUGGGAUAAGCGCUGGAAACGGCGUCUAAUACUGGAUAUGUGACGUGACCGCAUGGUCUGCGUCUGGAAAGAAUUUCGGUUGGGGAUGGGCUCGCGGCCUAUCAGCUUGUUGGUGAGGUAAUGGCUCACCAAGGCGUCGACGGGUAGCCGGCCUGAGAGGGUGACCGGCCACACUGGGACUGAGACACGGCCCAGACUCCUACGGGAGGCAGCAGUGGGGAAUAUUGCACAAUGGGCGCAAGCCUGAUGCAGCAACGCCGCGUGAGGGACGACGGCCUUCGGGUUGUAAACCUCUUUUAGCAGGGAAGAAGCGAAAGUGACGGUACCUGCAGAAAAAGCGCCGGCUAACUACGUGCCAGCAGCCGCGGUAAUACGUAGGGCGCAAGCGUUAUCCGGAAUUAUUGGGCGUAAAGAGCUCGUAGGCGGUUUGUCGCGUCUGCUGUGAAAUCCGGAGGCUCAACCUCCGGCCUGCAGUGGGUACGGGCAGACUAGAGUGCGGUAGGGGAGAUUGGAAUUCCUGGUGUAGCGGUGGAAUGCGCAGAUAUCAGGAGGAACACCGAUGGCGAAGGCAGAUCUCUGGGCCGUAACUGACGCUGAGGAGCGAAAGGGUGGGGAGCAAACAGGCUUAGAUACCCUGGUAGUCCACCCCGUAAACGUUGGGAACUAGUUGUGGGGUCCAUUCCACGGAUUCCGUGACG